AUGGAGCAGCCAGUUAGUUCGGCUGGUUCUUCGAAUACGGAACCUUCGGUGCGCAAGAGGAAGAAGCAUUCCACUUCCCCGGAACUCAUUUCCAGCAGCGACGACGAAGAUGAUUUCAUUCCCCCACGGCGAUCCAAGCAUAAGAAUACCCAUGAAUCAAAGGCUGCCAAGGCUAAGAAAGUCUCCAACAACUCUUCCACCAUCCCCACAAAAAAUGACGAGAAGAAGAAGAAGAAGAAGUGUCGUCCCACCAUAAGGUGUGCUCCAGAGUUUAUUAAAUCAGCGAUUGAAAUUCUAAAAGAUUGCCAGAGGAAAAGGAUCAAGAAGUUAGGUUUUGGGUGGGUGCUCAGUUUGACUGUUGAUGCGCUCCGGACAAGGAACCUGCCCGUGUUUCUAAUGGACAAUACAAGUGAAUCCCUUGUGAUCAAUGUUGGCACGCAAGGUGGUCUUAAGAUUACACCCCAUGCUGUGCAUUGUGUCCUUGGCUUACCCAAUGGCGGCAUAGAUCCACCUCCUUUCUCCUGUGCACAAAAAAGAGAGCAACUUUUGACGCUCAAGAAACUACUUGGUGUCCCUAAGCAGAAAAACAUUGAUUUUGAAGUCUUGUACCAACGCAUACGCCUCGGGGGCGAUGACGACUUGACGAUAAGAUGCUUCAUUAUAAUUGUGUUCAAUCGUCUCUUAUUCCCCACUACGAGUAAAUAUAUCACAGGGAGGGAUGCGGCUUGGACUUCUGACUUACACAAUCUCCCAAAUAUUGAUUGGUGCAAGGUCCUUGUUGACGACAUUAGCCACGCUGUAAUUUCCUGGAAGUCCAAGAGAUUGGCUUAUCCCAAGAGAUUGGCUAAUUCCAAGAAAUUGUCUGAACCAACCCUGUCCCUCACUAGUUGCACCCUCUUUUGUAUUAUUUUUUAUUUGGACAACCUAUUAAGUAUGAAUCGGCUUGAUGCAAUUGAAAUCCCACGUAUCGCACACUUCACCAAUGAUAUUAUAGCGAAUAUCUUGCAUGAGGAUACACAGAUAGCUAAUGGCCUUGAAACAUAUGGUAAACUUGCGCUUAGGCCCAAGGAGGGUACCUACUAUUUCGAGGAUUCCCAAUCUCAGCUCUUAUUUACAGCCUGUCCACCUUCCCCGCCGCCUACUGUUCGAGUUCUCACAAAUUAUAGUGACAAUCGUGCUUCAGUUCAUGAUGGAUCAUCUGGUGAACCCAAUGUUAGUAAGGAGGUGCCUGCAAAAUUUGAUCAUUUAUCUCCGUCCGGACAACCCUCCCAAACUGUUGAGACAUUAGAGACAGGACAUGAGAUGAUGGAGGAAACAAAUCUUGAUGUUAGGCACAAGACCAAUGCUACAAUCCUACCUGACAAGAAUCAAGCUCGAUCACCUUCCCUGCUGCCUACUGUUGACAGCAGCAGAGAUGAUCUGGACAACUCUGCUUCAGUUCAUGAUGGUUCAUGUGGAGCUCACGGAGACAUUCACACCAGGCAGGGGAGCGUGUUUAUGACCGCCAAUGCUGUCAGAACAGAUUAUCUCUCCCUGGAGCAAGAACGCAGAAAAUCUCCAAGAGAUAGCCAGCAGUUGCGGUCCAACGGGCCUUCCUCCAAACCUCAGGCUGCCCAAACUACGGAGGGGACGCAAGUUGCUCCAGGCACCUCCAUGGUAAGAAACAGGGGUUCUCUGUUGACGAUGGAGAAAGGCGAUCGGAAGGCCAGAGUGGAAACAAGUUUGCUUGACUGCCGCCUCUGCUUCCGCCCCUUAAAGCCUCCUGUCUUCCAGUGCAAUGGCGGGCAUUCAGCUUGUGGCACAUGCCUUGUCGAGCUCCCUGGCGGACAGUGCCCGAUGUGCAAGCAUGGCGGUGGAGGCUUUGCCCCCUGCCUUGCAAUGGACGGCAUCGUCUCGUCGGCAACGAUAAAGUGCUCCCACGAUGGCUGCCAGAGCCACGUCACCUACCAUGAGCAUGACGAUCACCAUAGUGCGUGCCCACACGCACCCUGCUUCUGCACGGAGCCGGGCUGCAGCUUCGCCGGCCCGCCACCGGCGCUCCUCGGCCACCUUGCCACCCUGCAUUCCUGGCCUGUGCACAAGAUUGAGUACGGCAAGGUUCUCUGGCUUCAGGUUCCGGUGUCAGAACCGCGGCGUCUGCUCCUCGCGGAGGACGGCGGCGUGUUCCUUCUUGUUGUGGGCUUGCUCAAUGCGAUCACUGUUGUGUCAGUGGUGUGCAUCAGGGCCAGCACGUCCCCGUCGCUGCAGUACCCAGCCAUGAUGUGGGCAUAUGGUCCGCCGGACGUUGCAGGCGUCAGAUGUAUGGUGGACACGGAGGCGGUGACGAGCAGCUCCAAGCCCCGCGAUGUCGUCGCGGAGAAGCUGCCAUUCGUCUUGCUUGUGCCGCCUACGCAUGUGUUUGGGGCUGGGGCAUCCAAGGAGUAG
rnacentral:rRNA from 1 species